GAUGAACGCUGGCGGCGUGCCUAAUACAUGCAAGUCGAGCGAAUGGAUUGAGAGCUUGCUCUUAUGAAGUUAGCGGCGGACGGGUGAGUAACACGUGGGUAACCUGCCCAUAAGACUGGAUAACUCCGGGAAACCGGGGCUAAUACCGGAUAACAUUUUGAACCGCAUGGUUCGAAAUUGAAAGGCGGCUUCGGCUGUCACUUAUGGAUGGACCCGCGUCGCAUUAGCUAGUUGGUGAGGUAACGGCUCACCAAGGCAACGAUGCGUAGCCGACCUGAGAGGGUGAUCGGCCACACUGGGACUGAGACACGGCCCAGACUCCUACGGGAGGCAGCAGUAGGGAAUCUUCCGCAAUGGACGAAAGUCUGACGGAGCAACGCCGCGUGAGUGAUGAAGGCUUUCGGGUCGUAAAACUCUGUUGUUAGGGAAGAACAAGUGCUAGUUGAAUAAGCUGGCACCUUGACGGUACCUACCAGAAAGCCCCGGCUAACUUCGUGCCAGCCGCCGCCGUAA
rnacentral:rRNA from 1 species